GUGAACUUUACAGAGGGGAUUGACACGGGCUGCCUGCUGGGCGUCUGCUCUGGGGAAGACCAGGAAGACUUACUGAAGGUACGUGGGUGAGAACAUUCAAGAGCGUGUCCUUCUUUUGAAGAAUGGUUCAGUGAUCGCUGUGAACAUUGGAUUGUGUUUGAAUCAUAUGGUGAGGGACAUCUGAAACCAUCCUGAUUUUUGUGUAGCCAGUUUUUAUGACUCCCAGAGUUCAGCUUUCUCAUUUGAUCUUUUUUUUGUUCUGUAGUCUACAUGUAUAUACUACAUCUACAUGUAUAUGUAGACUAUCCAACCAAUUUUGAUGUCUUCUGUAGCAUUGGACUAUUGGCAAACAUAUCCCACAACAUCUGCUUUACAUCCGUACCUGCCGUUUAAGUUUCACUCAAAAUCACAGUUGAGUCAUGCACGCUCUUCAGUUAAAGGUACUGCAGAACUUCUGGCUUUUGAAGCAGAGAUCUCCAGUACAAACUCUGGCUUUAAACAAGUGCUGGUGUUCAAUCACUCAAUACCUCAGGAAUCUGACAGUGAGGACACGCUGUGGUGGAAAGAGAGGCUCACACAAUGAGCACAGUGGGAGGAUUUAACACAGACCGACUCCUCAGAUGAUUCACACACUUACAAAGUUAUCCAGAACUGACAGGUGGAUAUGCCACAUUUACUAUCGGGAUGAAGCUGCAGAUCUGUUUAUCCAUAUCAUCAGUUUAAUUAUCAUGAACUCUGUAUUUUGAAAUGCAAAAUAUAAUGUAACUUAUUAAACUUAAUAAAAUAUAACUUAUUUUGAUGUGUUGAAUAACA
ensembl:lncRNA